GAAGAAAGAAGCAGGCUUUCCUAAUACAUGCAAUUCGAUCGAACAGAUGAGGAGCUUGCUCCUCUGACGUUAGCGGCGGACGGUUGAUUAACACUUUGAUAACCUACCUAUAAGACUUUGAUAACUUCUUUAAACCUUAUCUAAUACCUUAUAAUAUAUUUAACCUCAUUUUUCAAUCUUUAAAUACUUUUUUGCUUUCACUUAUCUAUGGAUCCGCGCCUCAUUAGCUAGUUUGUAAGGUAACGGCUUACCAAGGCGACGAUGCGUAGCCUACCUGAGAGGGUGAUAGGCCACAAUGGAACUGAGCAAAGGUCCAGACUAAUAAGGGAGGCAGCAGUAGGGAAUCUUAAGAAAUGGGCGAAAGCCUGACGGAGCAACGCCGCGUGAGUGAUGAAGGUCUUCGGAUCGUAAAAAUAUGUUAUUAGGGAAGAACAAAUGUGUAAGUAAAUAUGCACGUCUUGACGGUACCUAAUCAGAAAGCAAAGGAGAAAUACGGG
rnacentral:rRNA from 1 species